rnacentral:rRNA from 1 species
AGACAAUAGAUACCCAGGUAGUCCACGCCGUAAACGAUGAGUGCUAAGUGUUAGAGGGUUUCCGCCCUUUAGUGCUGCAGCUAACGCAUUAAGCACUCCGCCUGGGGAGUACGGCCGCAAGGCUGAAACUCAAAGGAAUUGACGGGGGCCCGCACAAGCGGUGGAGCAUGUGGUUUAAUUCGAAGCAACGCGAAGAACCUUACCAGGUCUUGACAUCCUCUGACACUCCUAGAGAUAGGACGUUCCCCUUCGGGGGACAGAAUGACAGGUGGUGCAUGGUUGUCGUCAGCUCGUGUCGUGAGAUGUUGGGUUAAGUCCCGCAACGAGCGCAACCCUUGUUCUUAGUUGCCAGCAUUCAGUUGGGCACUCUAAGGAGACUGCCGGUGACAAACCGGAGGAAGGUGGGGAUGACGUCAAAUCAUCAUGCCCCUUAUGACCUGGGCUACACACGUGCUACAAUGGAUGGUACAAAGGGCAGCAAAGCCGCGAGGCCUAGCCAAUCCCAUAAAACCAUUCUCAGUUCGGAUUGUA